UAGGGAAUCUUCCACAAUGGACGCAAGUCUGAUGGAGCAACGCCGCGUGAGUGAAGAAGGUUUUCGGACCGUAAAGCUCUGUUGUUGGUGAAGAAGGAUAGAGGUAGUAACUGGCCUUUAUUUGACGGUAAUCAACCAGAAAGUCACGGCUAACUACGCGCCAGCAGCCGCGGUAAUACGUAGGUGGCAAGCGUUGUCCGGAUUUAUUGGGCGUAAAAGCGAGCGCAGGCGGAAGAAUAAGUCUGAUGUGAAAGCCCUCGGCUUAACCGAGGAAUUGCAUCGGAAACUGUUU
rnacentral:rRNA from 1 species